rnacentral:lncRNA from 1 species
AAAGGGCCCUGACAAGAGGAUGGGACUGCAGUUGUGGCUGCCAGGGCCCCGGCCAGGGUGAAAACAAGGAACAUUCCAGAGAAGAUCACAAGGAUGCGAAUAAAAUCGGAGCUGCACAGGGAUCUUUGGGCUGUUGGAGUGCAGUGGCACGAUCUCGGCUCAGUGCAACCUCCGCCUCCUGAGUUCAAGUGAUUCUCCUGCCUCAGCCUCCCUAGUAGCUGGGAUUACAGGACAAGGAGAGGGACAAAUUCCUUCUUGGCAUCCUUAUGGCCCUGUGACCUGCUAAUGAAUGCUGACUCUGAGUUGCUACUAGAAUUUGGUUUCCUUGUGGCUUCCCAGGAAUUGUGAGCCAUGUUGGAUAAGGACCUGCAAGGGAAGAAUGAGGAAGCCUGGGACAGUGCAGGAGGGGAGAGCACUGGUGGUAGAGAGGAGUGAUGACAAGGGUCUCCGCCAAAAGGGAAAUGGAGGGGUUAAAGAAGCUGCUGGGGAGGGUUAAAAACAAUGUGUUCUCACUCGUAGGUGGGAAUUGAACAAUGAGAACACUUGGACAC